rnacentral:tRNA from 2 species
AGCGAAAUGGCGCAGUGGAAGCGCGCAAGGCUCAUAACCUUGAGGUCCUCCGAUCGAGACGGAGUUUCGCUA